UACGUAGGGUGCAAGCGUUAAUCGGAAUUACUGGGCGUAAAGCGUGCGCAGGCGGUCGUGCAAGACAGAUGUGAAAUCCCCGGGCUUAACCUGGGAACUGCAUUUGUGACUGCAUAGCUAGAGUGCGGCAGAGGGAGAUGGAAUUCCGCGUGUAGCAGUGAAAUGCGUAGAUAUGCGGAGGAACACCGAUGGCGAAGGCAAUCUCCUGGGCCUGCACUGGCGCUCAUGCACGAAAGCGUGGGGAGCAAACAGG
rnacentral:rRNA from 1 species